UCCUCGAUGGUCUAGUGGUCAUGAUUUCCGCUUGUCAUUAAAGUUCAAGCGCGGGAGACCAGGGUUCGAUUCCCUGUCGGGGAG
rfam:Paracoccidioides sp. &apos;lutzii&apos; Pb01 unplaced genomic scaffold supercont2.21, whole genome shotgun sequence.